GUUCCGUAGGUGAACCUGCGGAAGGAUCAUUGAUUCCAUCGUAUCCACACCGAGAACAACCCCAUGUUGGCCUGGCCGCCAAAGGUCCCCUUUGGUGGUCACCUGCAGCCCGGCUGGCUUGCCAGCCCGACUGUGGGGGCCGGGUUCACACCUGGCCGGCUGUUUCUCCCAUUCAAACCAAUAUCUGAAGGCAAUUGCCUGCUCACACGAGCGGCGACUAACAAAGACAACUCUCAACAACGGAUAUCUUGGCUCCC
rnacentral:misc_RNA from 1 species